rnacentral:rRNA from 1 species
UAUCCUGUCUGAAUAUGGGGGGACCAUCCUCCAAGGCUAAAUACUCCUGACUGACCGAUAGUGAACCAGUACCGUGAGGGAAAGGCGAAAAGAACCCCGGCGAGGGGAGUGAAAAAGAACCUGAAACCGUGUACGUACAAGCAGUGGGAGCACAGAGCAAUCUGUGUGACUGCGUACCUUUUGUAUAAUGGGUCAGCGACUUAUAUUCUGUAGCAAGGUUAACCGAAUAGGGGAGCCGAAGGGAAACCGAGUCUUAACUGGGCGUUAAGUUGCAGGGUAUAGACCCGAAACCCGGUGAUCUAGCCAUGGGCAGGUUGAAGGUUGGGUAACACUAACUGGAGGACCGAACCGACUAAUGUUGAAAAAUUAGCGGAUGACUUGUGGCUGGGGGUGAAAGGCCAAUCAAACCGGGAGAUAGCUGGUUCUCCCCGAAAGCUAUUUAGGUAGCGCCUCGUGAAUUCAUCUCCGGGGGUAGAGCACUGUUUCGGCAAGGGGGUCAUCCCGACUUACCAACCCGAUGCAAACUGCGAAUACCGGAGAAUGUUAUCACGGGAGACACACGGCGGGUGCUAACGUCCGUCGUGAAGAGGGAAACAACCCAGACCGCCAGCUAAGGUCCCAAAGUCAUGGUUAAGUGGGAAACGAUGUGGGAAGGCCCAGACAGCCAGGAUGUUGGCUUAGAAGCAGCCAUCAUUUAAAGAAAGCGUAAUAGCUCACUGGUCGAGUCGGCCUGCGCGGAAGAUGUAACGGGGCUAAACCAUG